rnacentral:rRNA from 1 species
UGGCGCGCAAAUUACCCAAUCCUGACACAGGGAGGUAGUGACAAGAAAUAACAAUACAGGGCAUCCAUGUCUUGUAAUUGGAAUGAGUAGAAUUUAAAUCCCUUUACGAGUAUCAAUUGGAGGGCAAGUCUGGUGCCAGCAGCCGCGGUAAUUCCAGCUCCAAUAGCGUAUAUUAAAGUUGUUGCAGUUAAAACGCUCGUAGUCGGAUUUCGGGGCGGGCCGACCGGUCUGCCGAUGGGUAUGCACUGGCCGGCGCGUCCUUCCACCCGGAGACCGCGCCUACUCUUAACUGAGCGGGCGCGGGAGACGGGUCUUUUACUUUGAAAAAAUCAGAGUGUUUCAAGCAGGCAGUCGCUCCUGCAUGGAUUAGCAUGGGAUAAUGAAAUAGGACUCUGGUGCUAUUUUGUUGGUUUCGAACACCGGAGUAAUGAUUAACAGGGACAGUCAGGGGCACUCGUAUUCCGCCGAGAGAGGUGAAAUUCUCAGACCAGCGGAAGACGAACCACUGCGAAAGCAUUUGCCAGGGAUGUUUUCACUGAUCAAGAACGAAAGUUAGGGGAUCGAAGACGAUCAGAUACCGUCCUAGUCUUAACUAUAAACCAUGCCGACUAGGGAUUGGAGGAUGUUCCAUUUGUGACUCCUUCAGCACCUUUCGGGAAACUAAAGUCUUUGGGUUCCGGGGGGAGUAUGGUCGCAAGGCUGAAAUCCAU